UCUAAAGACAUAUGUAUCUACGGCUAAUUUCUUACCGCAUAGACCAAUGGGUAUGAUUCAGAGAAGGUGUUCAGGUGUAGAAAUUCCAACGUACACUGAAAACUGUAGUGAAUCUCACCACCUAAAACACCAAGUUUAGUGAGGUUUAAUUUCUGGGUGUAGACGGUUUGUUAUGUAAACACAGCCUAAGGUCUUACUCCUGGAGAUGCCAGAUAAAAGGUUGUUGUCAGAGAAACGAUGAUAGGGAUAUAUAUAGGUCCUGUUUGGUAAAAUGAGGGAUAGGAAGUAUGAUUGUAAUU